rnacentral:rRNA from 1 species
CCUACGGGAGGCAGCAGUGAGGAAUAUUGGUCAAUGGCCGCAAGGCUGAACCAGCCAAGUCGCGUGAGGGAAGACUGCCCUAUGGGUUGUAAACCUCUUUUAUAAGGGAAGAAUAAAUGCUACGUGUAGCAUGAUGCCUGUACCUUAUGAAUAAGCAUCGGCUAACUCCGUGCCAGCAGCCGCGGUAAUACGGAGGAUGCGAGCGUUAUCCGGAUUUAUUGGGUUUAAAGGGUGCGUAGGCGGUUUUUUAAGUUAGUGGUAAAACGUCGGGGCUUCACCUUGAUUUGCCAUUAAUACUGUAUGACUCGAGUUCAGACGAGGUAGGCGGAAUAAGUUAAGUAGCGGUGAAAUGCAUAGAUAUAACUUAGAACUCCGAUAGCGAAGGCAGCUUACCAGACUGCGACUGACGCUGAAGCACGAGAGCGUGGGUAGCGAACAGGAUUAGAUACCCUUGUAGUC